rnacentral:rRNA from 1 species
CACCGCGGUUAUACGAGUGAGCCCAAGUUGAUAAACAUUCGGCGUAAAGGGUGGUUAAGAUCAAAUUUUUAAAAUAAAGCCAAAAGCCUUUGCAGCCGUCAAAUACUCACAAAUGCAUGAAGCCCAUACACGAAAGUAGCUUUAUAACUUCUGACACCACGAAAACUAGGGCA